UUUCUUUAUUUUCUCUUUUUUUGUUUGGAAUGAAUGCACUCAUAUGUAUAAUGUGUCGGAUCGUUGGCGCUAACCAUUAAUCUCAAAAAUUCAAGUUGUUAGAAAUAUACAACCAAUUCACUUAAAGCGUAUAGAUACAGCGCCCACGGAUCUCAAUUAUGACUCGGCCCACUUAGCCUCACGUCACUUCGAAUAUAACUCGGCCCACCCAACCUAACGUCAUUUCAAACAUGACUUGGCCUAACAUGACCUCCCGCCACAGGACAGACAGUAUGCUGGCUCAUUUAAGCCAACAUAAUGGUUUCGCAAAAACAAAAAAAAUUUCUCGAA
rnacentral:lncRNA from 1 species